rnacentral:rRNA from 1 species
CGCACCCGAUCCCAUUCCGAACUCGGCCGUGAAACGCCCCUGCGCCAAUGGUACUUCGUCUCAAGACGCGGGAGAGUAGGUCGCUGCCAGGU